AUUGAACGCUGGCGGCAUGCUUUACACAUGCAAGUCGAACGGUAACAGGGUGCUUGCACCGCUGACGAGUGGCGAACGGGUGAGUAAUGCGUCGGAACGUGCCGAGUAGUGGGGGAUAACGCAGCGAAAGUUGUGCUAAUACCGCAUACGUACUGAGGUAGAAAGUGGGGGACCUUCGGGCCUCACGCUAUUCGAGCGGCCGACGUCGGAUUAGCUAGUAGGUGAGGUAAAGGCUCACCUAGGCGACGAUCAGUAGCGGGUCUGAGAGGAUGGUCCGCACCGCGGGGACGGAGACACGGCCCAGAUUCCUACGGGAGGCAGCAGUGGGGAAUUUUGGACAAUGGGCGAAAGCCUGAUCCAGCCAUGCCGCGUGUCUGAAGAAGGCAUUCGGGUUGUAAAGGACUUUUGUCAGGGAGGAAAUCCCUAGUGCUAAUAACACUGGGGGAUGACAGUACCUGAAGAAUAAGCACCGGCUAACUACGUGCCAGCCGCCGCGGUAA
rnacentral:rRNA from 1 species